rnacentral:misc_RNA from 1 species
GUGAGGAGACUCCAGCGUGAAUGCACACAAAAACGCGAGCACAAAGCCGUCCACCAUCGCACACAAUCAAGGUAUAGAGGCAAUUUGCACGCGUAUGCCAUGCAAAUUAUGCACACCUGUGCAUCGCACACCACACCUAUAGAUUUCCACGUCUCCACCCUCGUCGCCACCAUUUGCAUACUUCAGUGUUUGGCGAAGGUGUGCGUGUGUGUGCCAACGCAAAAGAAGGCAUGCGCAGCAGCUUGCCGCAUGAAGCUUCACCUGGAGGACGCUUACGAGGAGCUCUGUGCCGAGUACAACACCACGCCGCUAUGUACAUUCCGUAGCUCUCUGCGGAACACGUACGCUUCGCCUGAUGGCGAAGUCUUCAUGGACGCCUCCUAUGUUGAGGGCGAUCACUUCUGCGUCUUCGCCGAACUGCUGCGUCGACUGCUGCGGCGGCCCAUCGCAUUCAUCCAGCCCACUAUCGUGCAACUGGACACCGCUGCGCCUCAGCUGGAACACUCCGUCCUCUACGCGCCAGAGGAGCAAGUCGGUCACGCCUACUACGCCGUUCCGCCUCGUCUACUGCGAAUCAAGCUUCUCCUCUCGCGCAACGUGAACAAUGCAGAUGUAGAGCGCGUGUGCCGCCUCAUCGUGGUGCAGAAGGUGUUAGACUGCGUUCCGUUCCCAGCAUCGCACAGUAACUCUACGAAGGCAAGUGUCCAAGCCACAGGAACCCUGCCGCAGUUGAGCUGGCCGGAGAGAGCAACCAUCGAAAGCAUCGACCUGCACAACUGCGUGUUUGUUUCGCUCCCAGGUGGGCGAGCCUUGCGUGCUGCCGCGCGACGCAACGUGUACGUUCAAAACGUCUUUCUAGAGGGGUGCAGCGUGAAUGCGGCGGUGGUGGCGCAAAUAGCGCGAGCGACUCGCGGCAAUAGGGAGCAGUUUCGCCUCGUGGGUACCUCGUCCUGACGCUUGACAGCACGCACACGCAUCCACACGCUCGCGGACGGGCCUCCCCGCAAAGCAAGCCCGAUGAGCGAGUGGUGACGGGCAGCCGGCACGCGGUGUUCGGAAGCGACACCGCCAAGGCUCCCUCCCACACAUGUGAUGAAGCUGUGGAGGGGUGCUCGACGAUUCGAGGGCUGGAGGCAGCGGGGAGACGCACAUCGCCUGUCUUCUUCUUUGCGCCUGUACGAGGUGCUGUUCUUGGUCUAUCUUGGUGGUACUCGAGACUCAUCAUAUGACCGGCCCCCUCGCCUUCUGUGUACUCUCUCGCACUCCUUACUGCUUCCCUUCCUCCCUUGUUUCUCCGCGACGACUCUGUUGCCUUUUUCUUCACCUCUUCCCGUUGGUGCCGGCGGCUUUAUCGAUUUCUUUUGCCGCCUUUUUUUUUCAUAG